GAGCGGAGAGAGGUAGCUUGCUACUGAUCUUAGCGGCGGACGGGUGAGUAAUGCUUAGGAAUCUGCCUAUUAGUGGGGGACAACAUUUCGAAAGGAAUGCUAAUACCGCAUACGUCCUACGGGAGAAAGCAGGGGAUCUUCGGACCUUGCGCUAAUAGAUGAGCCUAAGUCGGAUUAGCUAGUUGGUGGGGUAAAGGCCUACCAAGGCGACGAUCUGUAGCGGGUCUGAGAGGAUGAUCCGCCACACUGGGACUGAGACACGGCCCAGACUCCUACGGGAGGCAGCAGUGGGGAAUAUUGGACAAUGGGCGCAAGCCUGAUCCAGCCAUGCCGCGUGUGUGAAGAAGGCCUUAUGGUUGUAAAGCACUUUAAGCGAGGAGGAGGCUACUUUAGUUAAUACCUAGAGAUAGUGGACGUUACUCGCAGAAUAAGCACCGGCUAACUCUGUGCCAGCAGCGGGCGGUAAU
rnacentral:rRNA from 1 species